UCUUUUAUUUGGCUGGUGCAAAACCUAUGAAGUUUUCCCUGUCAGCUAAUUUAAUGUGCUUACCUCUCCAUUAGAUAGCUAGCUAUUAUGAUUAUACACUACGUUUCCUAUGUUAUGUGCUUGGUUUUCCUCUUUUGCUCACUCCUUCCAUUGUUGGUGAAGGAUCGGUCAGUCCAUAGUUCAUCGUUUGGCUUGCUUCUCGCUAAGCUCUUUCUUCCUUGUCUCCUAUUCGGUAAAAUGUCUGAGAGCUGACACAGUUUUGUUUCUCGUUUCCUUGCCUGUCCAGGUUCUUUGUUGGUUCGUUGGCAGUUCCUAAUUUUUUUCAUGUAGCCGGUUGAGGGAUUCCACCAUUAGCAUAAAGAUCAAGGCGGCGGGCGGUGGCCGUGGAAAGCAGGGGUUCCACAAUUGGCUACAUUGUCUCAAGGAGAAGACUUCUUACAUGAUCCAUGUAACUGCUCGUUUUGUUAAUGGCUUCGCCCUAUGUGUCCAGAAAUUUAUGCAAAUGAUGGCUCUAAGGGUUAGAAGAAGCCAAGGAGUAUGUGAUAGGAUUUUUUGAUAGUUUAUCAGAAGAAAGUGUAGAAGAAAAUGGAGAGGAUGAUGAAGUGACUCAAAUAGAAGUACGAAAUAUCUGCGUCAGAAAGCUAGGUCCCAGAAUCCGUGUGGCAGCAUGACAUGUACUCGGAUGCCUCUGCGAGACGCGGCGGUGGCGGGAGGAUCUCGGCUAUUGAGACCGACACCAAGCUCUUCAUAGUCAAUUUGGACUUAGGCGUUUCAACCGAGGACGUGAAGGGAACAACUAAGGUUAUAUUGCAAGGUGUGAUGAUGCCCGCCUUUUGGAGAAUGUUCAACUUUUAUAGACCUAUUAGCUUGCUAUGCGUGACGACUAAACGCUUUGCUGCUGCACUUCUGUUAUUUAUAUUCUUUUUUGAACAACUAGCGCUCGUCUGUGUUGUAUAUGAGUGAACACUGCAAUGAUCUAUUUCAGUUAAGUGCAGUUGUUUUUAACAUCUGGUGCUCAUCUGGGCUGCAAAAGCACAUGCAUACGUACAUCCACAUGAUUUGUGGGCACAGGACGGCAGAGGAGGCGCGCCGCAGCCACUAGUGUAAGGUCAU